UCCAUUCGCGAACUAUACCUACCUUUUAUUGUUUCUCUAAGUUGUCGUUGUGUUUUUGGAUUUGUUAUUUUGUUUUCUGAUUUAUUUUGUUUUUCAGUUCGUUAUUGUGAUUUUUUUUUAUUUUGUUUUUGGAUUUGUUAUUUUGUUUUGCACUUUUGUUUCGGCCACUGUAAAUUACCCACAUUUAAACAUUUAAAUUGUUUUUUGUUUUCAUUGAACCCCUGUGAGUGAGCCCAGAAGGAAGAACCCCAAGGAGGUUGUGCGAGAGAGAGAGAUUUCAAGAUAAUAACAGAAUAAGCAAAAUAACGACCGAGUGGCUUUAUACGAGACAGCUAAGCUAUCAAAAACGAAAACAAACUGGCAAAAUAAAAAAUAAGAACAGCUGACUAAGAAGCAACAUGAAAAGAAAAAAAAGACAGUGGUCAGUUAUUUUUUAGUGCCAUGGUAAAAUGGUUCAUGUUUUUUUUUUUUUAGACAUAUUGAAAUCUACAGUAUCUCACAAAAGUGAGUACACUCCUCACAUUUUUGUAAAUAUUUUAUUAUAUCUUUUCAUGUGACAACACUGAAGAAAUGACACUCUACUACAAUGUAAAGUAGUGAGUGUACAGCCUGUAUAACAGUGUAAAUUUGCUGUCCCCUCAAAAUAGCUCAACACAGCCAUUAAUGUCUAAACCGUUGGCAAAAAAAAGUACACCCCUAAGUGGAAAUGUCCAAAUUGGGCCCAAAAUGCCACCAUUAUUUUCCAGCACUGCCUUAACCCUCUUGGGCAUGGAGUUCACUAGAGCUUCACAGGUUGCCACUGGAGUCCUCUUCCACUCCUCCAUGAUGACAUCACAGAGCUGGUGGAUGUUAGAGGCAUUGCGCUCCCCCACCUACCGUUUGAGGAUGCCCCACAGAUGCUCAAUAGGGUUUAGGUCUGGAGACAUGCUUGGCCAGUCCAUCACCUUUACCCUCAGCUUCUUUAGCAAGGCAGUGGUCGUCUUGGAGGUGUGUUUGGGGUCGUUAUCAUGUUGGAAUACUGCCCUGCAGCCCAGUCUCCGAAGGGAGGGGAUCAUGCUCUGCUUCAGUAUGUCACAGUACAUGUUGGCAUUCAUGGUUCCCUCAAUGAACUGUAGCUCCCCAGUGCCGGCAACACUCAUGCAGGCCCAGACCAUGACACUCCCACCACCAUGCUUGACUGUAGGCAAGACACACUUGUCUUUGUACUCAAUUCAAUUCAAUUCAAUUGCACCUUUUACAAUGAACAUUGUCUCAAAGCAGCUUUACAAAAGAAGAAAACAGAGGAAGGGGAGGGGAAAAAUGAAAAAUAAUAAUAAAAAAUAAAAACAAAAAAUAACUAAUUAACUAGAAAUAAGAAUAAAUUAUUAAAUUCUAUAAUUAGACUAUUUUAUCCUAUUUUAUCCCUAAUGAGCAAGCCUGUGGCAACAGUGGCAAGGAAAAACUCCCUGGGAUGGAAAGGAAGAAACCUUGAGAGGAACCAGGCUCAGAAGGGAACCCAUCCUCAUUUGGGUGACACUAAACAGAAAAUAAUGUAACUGUAGCUGAUUAAUGUCCUUUCUACAACAGCAAUCAAUGACCCAUGAGGAACUAUCAGGUCAGUGUAGUUUCUAAGGUCAUUAUAAACACUAGUUCUUUGCUGUCAUGGGCUGACAGAUGAAAUGGCAUAUCUGUGAUGGUGUGAAAGUCCCCAAGUGGCUCUGUCCAUGGCUGUCUCCUGGUCCACACAGAUCCAUCCACAGCAUCAGUGGGCACCAUCAAGCGGUGAGACUCCGACCAGGGGUAGCGCAGCGGUCGCACUGGAAACUGGCAAACACUGGGAGCUCAGGAGUGGGGUGUAUAACUCGACAGAGAAGGUAGAGAGAGAAAGAGAAAGAUAUUAAGUUUCUGAUCAUGUGAUGUUUAAGGACAAUGUAGAUUAUGUGUAAAGUGCAAGCAGGGACUCCAGCAAGACUAGCUAUGACAGCAUAACUCCUCACCUGGUUGCCGCCACACACGCUUGACACCAUCUGAACCAAAUAUGUUCAUCUUGGUCUCAUCAGACCACAGGACAUGGUUCCAGUAAUCCUUGUCCUUAGUCUGCUUGUCUUCAGCAAACUGUAUGUGGGCUUUCUUAUGCAUCAUCUUUAGUAGCUGUUGGCUAUUGUCCCACCUUCUGGGACAACAGCCAUGCAGACCAAUUUGAUGCAGUGUGCGGCGUAUGGUCUGAGCACUGACAGGCUGACCCCCCACCCCUUCAAUCUCUGCAGCAAUGCUGGCAGCACUCAUGCAUCUAUUUCCCAAAGAAAACCUCCGGAUAUGACGCUGAGCACGUGCACUCAACUUCUUUGGUUGACCAUGGCGAGGCCUGUUCUGAGUUGCGGUUGCUGUUUUCUUAGGACUUAUCCUAGAAAUUAUGUUCAAAAAGGUGUUAAAUGGUAAGUAAAAGUUUUUAAAUUAAUGUUCACAAAUACUCCAGACUUUGUUGCUAAUGUCUGGAAAAAAAAGUUAAUUUAAGCAUUUUUAAAAUUUUCAUGUUUGAAAUUUUUAAAACCAAGAUUUUGUGAGAAUCACCCGUCUAUUAAUUAAAUUAUUAUUAAUAAAUUAACAAAAGCUGUAUGCAAUGAUGCAUGGAAUAUGUAUAUUUAAGAAGAAAUUAACAAGUGCCACAUUUCAUUUGAACAGAAAUUUUUCGACGGUCCCUAAAAUACAGCUUCCAAAUAUCAAACUAACUUCACCGCAGUUGUAAAUAAAAUAUAUCGACAUUACAAAACAAUACUCAUUUUAACAUAAGUGAUAUAAAAGGAAACGAUAAAUCCAAACGUAGACCUCUGUUCUGUUAACUUCAUCUGUUGUGACUUGAGUCUCCAGCUGAUGAUGUAGCUUUGAAGGAGGCCUGCCUGGGCCUGAUUACCAUGCCCCAAUACCUUGACUCCACUCCCAAGUCAAAACAGUGCCAGAAAGUCAAACGUAAAGAAACGUGAAGCGCAAAGAAAAAACUGUAUCGCAAACUCACAUUUCACUGAAGCGCAAAAUAAAAGCAGCAUCGAAUAUAAAUUUAAGUCAUUUAUAUUUUGCAACUCUAUUUUUGUUUUGCAAAACUUCUCUCACAAAUUUCAUUUUUUCGUUUGCAAUACAUAAUUCUUUUGCGAAUAUAUGUGGCAAUGAAUUGACUCCAUACAUAUCUAAUUUACAUUUUCAACUACUUAGAAUAAGGAACAAUUAUUAAAUUAUUAAUCAACAUAAUGAUUACAACAUUUAAAAAAUUGUUUUUUCAAUUCAGUAUAAAAUUAGAAUAAAGAAUAAAUGCAAAUUACAGGAACCUCAAACAAUAUGCAUUUUUUGGGACUUGAGUGAAUCUGUUCUCUCUCAACCCAUAUAACAGCAGCUGAGAAGUGAGCUUGAGAGCCAUAUUGUGUGCAGGACAGUCACUAAUAUCUGUUACUAGAUUUUUUUGCUAGGCCCUAUAUACCUUUGAAAAGUAACAUUUUAAGCAGUCUCUCAAUGAACACAAAAACAAUCUCCAAAAUGUUGACAAGACUAAGUUUUAGAUAACAUCUGUUUAACUUAUAACAUGAAAGUAAGGUUAAUAAUAUAACUUAGAGAACAAAAUUUUCAGUUUUACUCAAAUUAGGGUCUCUGGUCAAGUCUCUGGAACAAAGCUAAAUCUCGCAGACAUAUCCAGGUCGUCCACGGAAGUUAACACCUCGACAGGAGCGUCUUUUGAUGAGAAGUGUUGAAGAAAAUCGGCAUCUAAGUUCACUGCAGUUAUCUAAAGAAGUAGAAAGCCAAACUGGGGUGACUUUUCCUGUGACAUAAUAUGGCAUACACUGCAGAGGAAUGGCAUGCAUGGGUGCCGUCCAUGAAAGAAGCGUCUCCUAAAGCCCAGGCACAAAAAAGCGUGUCUAGAUUUUGCCAGGGCCCAUGCUGACAAAGAUAAAGACUACUGGGACUCUAUACUCUGGAGUGAUGAGACCAAGAUAAAUGUUUUUGUAACUGAUAGCCUUAAAACUGUAUGGCAUUGCAAAGGUGAGGAAUACAAAGAAAAAUGCAUGGUGCCUACAGUGAAUCAUGGUGGUGGCAGUGUCUUUAUGUGGGGCUGCAUGAGUGCUGCUGGUGUCGAGGAGCUGCAUUUCAUUGAUGGCAUCAUGAAUUCACAGAUGUUAUGCUGUAUACUGAAAGAGAAGAUGCUACCAUCACUCUGUGCCUUUGGUCGUUGUUCACUUUUUGUGCACUACUACAGCAACAAGAAGUAUACAGUUUUAUGCAAAAGUUUGGGCACCCCUGAAAAUUAUCAAUUUCAAUUUAGAAUCUGCUGGGUUUUCGAAGUAGCAACUUCAUUUGGAUAUAAUUUAUAGAUUAUGGAAACAGCAACAUUUCAGUUUUGAAAUAACAUUUAUUUAAUCAACAGAUACAAUGCAAUGUAAAUCAUAAAAACAGACAGGUGCAAAAAUUUGGGCACCCCAAUGAAAUAAUGACAUCAA